GAGAAUCGAAGAGAGGAAGCGUCAACGGAAGGGGAUCCGGCAAUCGUCUACGGUCGAGCACCCUGUUUUCGUCACCAUCUCUGUCUUUUGCUCCCUGUUCUAGCGGCUAAGGGUGUGGUUGAUACCUGAGGUUAAGGAUAAUCAUGGACUCAAACCGAAGCAGACCAUGAUGAUGACGACGUUACCGGUAGCGCCUAGGGUUCCAACAGAGCAACGGUGAGCCAAAUUCGUUUACAAAUGAGUACCCUAAUUUGAGAGUUCUUUAGAUGGCGUCUCAUAGAUUGAGAGUUCAUUGUACAGUCGUUCUUCUUCUCAGGUACAGCUUUCUUAUUUUGUUCUUCUCAGAGCAAGAAAUUAGCCCUAAAGGGAAUUUCGAGGAUCCUUAACAGGUGAUUAAAGUUAACCGAACCGACGAAAGGUCAGCCAAGAAGCCUCGAGGUUCAGCUACGAGGACGAGUGCGCGAAUUGGCAUGACCAAAGGCUAUUUAGAGAGAUGGAUCUGAUGAAGUUGUGUUCGGAGCUGAUAUACAUCCAGGUGCAAGAGGCUAUGAUGAGUUAAGUCGCGAUCGGCUCUUGGCGUGGCAGGAUCGGAGGACGGAAAGUGUGAGUUUCUCUAUUUGCAACCUCUGAUGCAGCCAUGGUGGUCUAAUAGACAGAUCUGAACCACGCUAUAUUAGUCGGCAAAUCUGAGGCAAACAAGUUGGUCCGUUUAUGCUAACAUAUCAUUAUAUUACCUCCUUUUGUAAAUGGAAUUUGUAUCUAUUCAUCUCGAUACAACUCUUUAACUCGAUGUUUUCUCUUUUGGUUACUUUGGCGAGUGUUGAUGCCGUAACGAAUCGAACGAAUACGGGACAAUCUUUUAGCUUCUAUGAUAUGUGAAUGUCAACCCGGCCGCAACGCGACGGGUGU
rnacentral:lncRNA from 1 species